UUUGAGCCCCUCCUAAUACCUUUAUAUGACUUGAAAUUACAAUAAUGACUCAUUUAUUUACAUAUACAUGCCAUUAUUUUGGAUACCCUUUUUAAUGAUCAGCUUCAAAUAAAUCCAAAAAAUUUCUUCUAUAUCUUAACAGUAUGACAUUUGAUGUUACCAUUUAUCUAUCUACAAUAGUUAAUAUUCAGUUGUCUUUUUCAUUUUUCAUAGCAAAGCUAUGAUAGUGGCAGCACCCUCUUGCUUACAUGAAGAGUUGGAAGUUCAACCUUAGUUUAGUACAAC
rnacentral:lncRNA from 1 species